UACGGAGGGUGCAAACGUUGCUCGGAAUCACUGGGCGUAAAGCGCACGUAGGCGGCUUUUUAAGUCAGAGGUGAAAUCCUGGAGCUCAACUCCAGAACUGCCUUUGAUACUGGAGAGCUUGAGUCCGGGAGAGGUGAGUGGAACUGCGAGUGUAGAGGUGAAAUCCGUAGAUAUUCGCAAGAACACCAGUGGCGAAGGCGGCUCACUGGCCCGGUACUGACGCUGAGGUGCGAAAGCGUGGGGAGCAAACAGG
rnacentral:rRNA from 1 species